UCCAAACGGUCAAACCCUAGCCGCCAACCCUUCUGGUCCCGAGCCCGCGCCUCCUGAGCCUCCACUCUCGCUCUCUCUCCUCUCCCACUCCGUCGCCUUCCCUCUCCCCGCUCGUCGCCUCCAUCCUCCCGUCGACGCCCUUUCCUCCCGCUUCCCCACCGUUGCCCUGACGCCUCCACCAGCUACCAGCUUCCACAGAUCCAGUCCGAGGCAGGGAAGGACCUCAUCGUCGCUCCGUUGCUUAGGCCCCAUGGCGGCGCUCGGGUCGGGCCGGGGUUGUGCAGAAGGUCGCCGCCUGCGGGCGAAAGCAGUGGAGUUGCCCUGGAGGGAGGCUCGCCGGCCUGAGCAGUAGGAACAACGAGGUCGUGCAGCGGUGAAUGGGGGCGAGGUCGACCGUGGAUGGAGGCUCGCCGGCCGGAGUAGCAGGACCAGCGAGGUCGAGAUAGUUCAGGUUUGCCUCUAAUCUUCUCCCCCUAUCCCUUUACCCUCUCUCUUAUUUCCACCUUUGUCUUGUGGAUGAGGGCAUCCGUGCACUACGAGGAGUGGAUCACUCCGCCCUCAGCUUUGCUGUCCCAAACGCAGCAGAGCUCAAGUUCUAGGAUAAGGACAAAAUCAGGCAGUCGAUUAAGGUGAGGUUUCCCAUGGAUUAUAUAGAUUUCUCUAUUGGUCUAUUUUACUAGGAUUUUUGAGUGAUAGUGCUUGUAAUGGAAGUUUUAGAAACAAAAUCAUGCUUGGACUAAGUACCUCGGCACAUAUUAGCGAGUCUAUUUGGUUGGCUCAGUAUUGAUGAAGAACACUUUUCCAUGGCUCGUGAACAUGUUGGUCCUCCUAUUUUGAUUUGUCCAGGUUUUUGAAAGAAAAGAAAAGGAAAUAACAUACACACUCUGAAUUGUGCAGGUUUUCAAAAGAAAAGAAAGGAAAUAAGAUGUAGUAAAUUUUGGUGAAGAACAAUUUUCCAUGGCUCGUGAACAUGUUGGUCCUCCUAUUUUGUUUUUUCAUGAUUUGUGGUCCAUGCAUGCUUUUGAUAUUCAAUCACUUUAUUUGUUCACAUCCUACUAGAUGUUGAGCAGUCUACAAUCAAAGCACCACUCGAGUUUCAUAAAUAGUACAAAGAUGAGGCUGGAGGAUGGAUCUGAAGCAUAGUUUUAAAUAGCCGGCUAUAGCCCCGCUAUAGCCUUGCUAUAGCCUUUUCAGCAGGGUGCCACUAAAUGGUUUCAUGUACAAAUAGUCCGCUAUAGCCUGCUAUAGCCCGCUAUAGCUGAUUUUGAGGUCCGCUGCUAUUUGGCAUAGCCCGCUAUUUAAAAUAUUGAUCUGAAGUGUGAAGGCAUGUCACUUCCGUGAGUUCUCUAUCUUUACUCCCACAUGACGGUUCUUUUAAUUGUCAUUCUAAUUUCAAAAUUAGUGUUCUAUCUACCACUGGGACCUUGCCUUAUUUUUAAUGUUUACUUAACACAUUAAAAUUCCUGCAUGUUAGUAUUUGAGAUAUUCCAUGGGUGCUGGGUGCUACUGCUUCUGAUUACAUGCGAUUCCAUUUGGUUUCACUUUGAUUAUGUUUUUGUACAGAUCUUUUGCAGGUUGGGCUGUUGGUGAAUCUUGAUGCUAUGUUUAUAGUCUGCUUUUAAACCCCACCCUGUACUACACACCAGAUAUGGAGCCAUUGUUUAUAUUUGGUCUCAUUUUAUUUCAAUUACGACUAGAUAUCAAGUUUAUAGCAUGUGAACUCUAAAGCCUCAAGACUCAAGUGGCUCUAAUGCUUACCCAACAUUCAGAAUAGAGAGAUCAACCCUGAAGCAUCAGUGCAUUGAAAACUGGUGGAUGGGAGAUUACAGUAUAUUAUACUACAGAAAACUGGUGGAUGGGAGAUCACAGUCAAGCUACUCACAUAUGACUCCUAUCAGUGCAUCCGAGAAUUCUCAAAUGAAGUUUGCUUCUGUUUUGGCCUGACUUACAUUUCUACUAUCUGGCUUGUCAUUUUGAAGUAUGUAAGUAGGAUUGUAUAAAUGCACACAUCAACAUCUCUAUCAAUCAGGUUCGCUAACUGUUAGUUUCGUGUUUAUCCAUUUUUCUUUGGGUCGCAGCACAGUAUCAUCCGGUUGGUUGUUUUUGUCGCCCAUUCUGUAAAUUCAUCUUAGCAAUAAAGCAUUGACAAGUGUGUUCAUUGCUCUCCUUGUCAAACAAAAUAUCAACAUCUGGUUCUUUAAUCUGCUUUUAAUCCUUAUCGGUCUACUACAAUGGAACCGAUUCCUCACCCAAUCUGAACUGUAUGUCCAACAACUCCUUUAUUGUUUUGCCUCUUCUCUUUUAUUCUCCAUAAAUUUACAGCUUCCGUGUUUAGAUGUUUCCAUGCAUAUUUUCUAAAAUUUGUUUUAUCGCUCGAAUCAAAUUUACUUAUACUGUGCUCAACUUUAGCUCAUGAACUGCAUGGCAAAAGCUAAUUCUGAUUGGUCUUCUGCCACUUUUUGUUUUAUGGCUUUCUACGCAACUGAAGGCAUGCUUCUAGAUUAUGAGAGUAUGUAGAUAGCAUGUAUGGUUUUUCAUUGUCUUGCACAGGUAGAGAUGCAUCACACGAUCCUUUGACAUUAUGGGUAUUGCAGAGUCCUUUCUUACAAAGGCAGGAGCUGUACCAUUCGACUUAAAGGGCGAAGAGUUCAUGCAAGGGGGUGGUCUCUAGGAUAUAUACACAAAAGAUGAAAUUUCCUUUUUUAUAGAACCAAAUUAUAUCAUGUAAUUGACCAUUAUUUCUAAGUGCUUCUCCUAUACAAAAUGUUCAUCAUGUAUUAAGUACCCCCUUCAUCCCACAAUUAAAACCAUUUUGCAAGUUAACAUAGCUUGCAAAAAUGUCUUAUAUUAUGGGACGGAGGGAGUACAUUUUAUUGUGUCACGUAUGUUUACCUCUCUUUUUAAAUUCAAGUUUACAACUAUUCAGACCUUCUAAUUG